UAUUGCACAAUGGGGGAAACCCUGAUGCAGCGACGCCGCGUGAGUGAAGAAGUAUUUCGGUAUGUAAAGCUCUAUCAGCAGGGAAGAUAAUGACGGUACCUGACUAAGAAGCCACGGCUAACUACGUGCCAGCAGCCGCGGUAAUACGUAGGGGGCAAGCGUUAUCCGGAUUUACUGGGUGUAAAGGGAGCGUAGGUGGCAGGGCAAGUCAGAUGUGAAAACCCGGGGCUCAACUCCGGGAUUGCAUUUGAAACUGUCCGGCUGGAGUGCAGGAGAGGUAAGCGGAAUUCCUAGUGUAGCGGUGAAAUGCGUAGAUAUUAGGAGGAACACCGGUGGCGAGGGCGGCUUGCUGGACGGUAACUGACGUUGAGGCUCGAAAGCGUGGGGAGCAAACAGG
rnacentral:rRNA from 1 species